rnacentral:piRNA from 1 species
UAAACUGUUGGGUCGCCGUCGUCGG